rnacentral:lncRNA from 1 species
UGAGUAUCAAUUGGUAAAUUUAUUUUUAAUAUUAAAUCUCUCCACUCUCUAUUUGACAUUUUUAUCAUAAAACCUACUAAAUCAAAACUAAUACACUUUUUUUUCUAAUCCACUUUUUUUUUUCUAUUAUACGGUAUAAAAUAAGUUUAGAUAAUAAAGGUUUUAUUAUAUUAUAAUGAGAAAUAACAAAGAUCUCAAAAGGUCUAAUAUAAUAUCCAUAAUAGAAUACCACUCACUAUUCUAACCUCAAGAUAUUAAUAAAGUGCCACUUAAAUACUUCUCCUUCCUCUCAAAUCAAACAUUAUCUUAGUUGUAACUAAUUAUUAUUUUGAUAUAAUAAAUAAUAAUUAAUAAUUUAAAAAGUAAUAUAAUCAAUAGAAUUAAUUAUUUGACUUUACUAUCGUAUAUUAUUUAUGGAAUGAUGAGUAAAAUCAGGUCGUUGAUAAAAUAAAGUAAAGUAUAUAUAUGAGACAAACAAAUUUAGAUAUCCAAUAAUUAAUCUAAUUAUUUCUAUGAAUACCCGUUUAUUAUUCGGAUCACAAAUAAACCUAAUGUUAUAUUUUUAUGCAAUUUUAUAUUUUUAUGCGUAUACUUUUCUACUAUCCCAAUUUUAAUAUUUACAAAAAUUUAAAAGAGAAAAUGGAAUACAAGUUAGGUGUUUUCAUGGAAACAUUAAAAUUGAAGAGUACGGUAUUUUUGCUAGGUUCUUAAAAUUUAAUAUUGGUGAGGUUUCAGUUUAAUGAUUUGAAUUGAAAGAUAAUAUUGCUUAGGUUGUCUGUUUUUUGUUGUAUCUAUUCACAGUUGGCAUAUUGAGUAUCAAUUGGUAAAUUUAUUUUUAAUAUUAAAUCUCUUCACUCUCUAUUUGACAUUUUUAUCAUAAAACCUACGAAGUCAAAACUAAUGCACAUUUUUUUUUCUAAUGCACUUUUUUUUCUAUUGUACUGUAUAAAAUAAAUUUAGAUAAUAGAAAUUUUAUUAUAUUAUAAUGAGAAAUAACAAAGAUUUCUAAAGUUCUAAUAUAAUAUCCAUAAUAGAAUACCACUCACUAUUCUAACCUCAAGAUAUUAAUAAAGUGUCACUUAAAUACUUCUCCUUCCUCUCAAAUCAAACAUUACCUUAGUUGUAACUAAUUCUUAUUUUUAUAUAAUAAAUAAUAAUUAAUAAUUUAAAAAGUAAUAUAACCAUUAGAAUUAAUUACUUGACUUUACUAUUGUAUAUUAUUUAUGGAAAGAUGAGUAAAAUCAGGCCGUUGAUAAAAUAAAGUAUAUAUAAAUAGGAGACAAACAAAUUUAGAUAUCCAAUAAUUAAUCUAAUUAUUUCUAUGAAUACCCGUUUAUUAUUCAGAUCACAAAUAAACCUAAUGUUAUAUUUUUUAUGUAAUUUUAUAUUUUUAUGCGUGUAUUUUUCUACUAUCCCAAUUUUAAUAUUUACAAAAAUUUAAAAGAGAAAGUGGAGUACAAGUUAGGUGUUUUCAUAAAAACAUUAAAAUUGGAGAGUACGGUAUUUUUGUUAGGUUAUCCCAAUUUUAAUAUUUACAAAAAUUUAAAAGAGAAAGUGGAGUACAAGUUAGGUGUUUUCAUAAAAACAUUAAAAUUGGAGAGUACGGUAUUUUUGUUAGGUUCUUAAAAUUUAAUAUUGGUGAGGUUUCAGUUUAAUGUUUUGAAUUGAAAGAUAAUAUUGCUUAGGUUGUCUGUGUUUGGUUGGAUCUAUUCACAGUCGACAUAUUGAGUAUCAAUAGGUAAAUUUAUUUUUAAUAUUAAAUCUCUCCACUCUCUAUUUGACAUUUUUAUCAUAAAACUUACUAAAUCAAAACUAAUGCACUUUUUUUUUCUAAUGCACUUUUUUUUCUAUUUUACUGUAUAAAAUAAGUUUAGAUAAUAAAGGUUUUAUUAUAUUAUAAUGAAAAUAACAAAGAUCUCAAAAGGUCUAAUAUAAUAUCCAUAAUAGAAUACCACUCACUAUUCUAACCUCAAGAUAUUACUAAAGUGCCACUUAAAUACUUCUCCUUCCUCUCAAAUCAAACAUUACCUUAGUUGUAACUAAUUAUUAUUUUGAUAUAAUAAAU